GAUGAACGCUGGCGGCGUGCCUAAUACAUGCAAGUCGAGCGAACGGACGAGAAGCUUGCUUUUCUGAUGUUAGCGGCGGAUGGGUGAGUAACACGUGGAUAACCUACCUAUAAGACUGGGAUAACUUCGGGAAACCGGAGCUAACACCGGAUAAUAUUUUGAACCGCAUGGUUCAAAAGUGAAAGACGGUCUUGCUGUCACUUAUAGAUGGAUCCGCGCUGCAUUAGCUAGUUGGUAAGGUAACGGCUUACCAAGGCAACGAUGCAUAGCCGACCUGAGAGGGUGAUCGGCCACACUGGAACUGAGACACGGUCCAGACUCCUACGGGAGGCAGCAGUAGGGAAUCUUCCGCAAUGGGCGAAAGCCUGACGCAGCAACGCCGCGUGAGUGAUGAAGGUCUUCGGAUCGUAAAACUCUGUUAUUAGGGAAGAACAUAUGUGUAAGUAACUGUGGACAUCUUGACGGUACCUAAUCAGAAAGCAACGGCUAACUACGUG
rnacentral:rRNA from 1 species